AUUAAAAUUGAAAUAAAACCCAAAAAGCAGUAUAGAAGACAUGGAAGAUUUUUCCCUGAGAAGCUUUUCAGACAGACUUAUGUCUGAAACAAGUUUGGAAGGCUUUCUGAAUGUUCUGUGGCAUGCACUGAAAUUUUAUUUCCCAGUAAAUGCACACUUUCUGAAGUUCACUGUACAAUGAAGGAACUCUUCAAAAUGCAACA